GACGAACGCUGGCGGCGUGCUUAACACAUGCAAGUCGAACGGAAAGGCCCUGCUUUUGUGGGGUGCUCGAGUGGCGAACGGGUGAGUAACACGUGAGUAACCUGCCCUUGACUUUGGGAUAACUUCAGGAAACUGGGGCUAAUACCGGAUAGGGGCUCCUGCUGCAUGGUGGGGGUUGGAAAGUUUCGGCGGUUGGGGAUGGACUCGCGGCUUAUCAGCUUGUUGGUGGGGUAGUGGCUUACCAAGGCUUUGACGGGUAGCCGGCCUGAGAGGGUGACCGGCCACAUUGGGACUGAGAUACGGCCCAGACUCCUACGGGAGGCAGCAGUGGGGAAUAUUGCACAAUGGGCGGAAGCCUGAUGCAGCAACGCCGCGUGCGGGAUGACGGCCUUCGGGUUGUAAACCGCUUUCGCCUGUGACGAAGCGUGAGUGACGGUAAUGGAUAAAGAAGCACCGGCUAACUACGUG
rnacentral:rRNA from 1 species